rnacentral:rRNA from 1 species
CUACGGAGGGUGCAAGCGUUAUCCGGAUUUAUUGGGUUUAAAGGGUGCGCAGGCGGACCUGUCAGUCAGUGGUGAAAUCCCGGGGCUCAACCCCGGAACUGCCAUUGAUACUACAGGUCUUGAAUACGGUUGAAGUAGGCGGAAUGUAGCAUGUAGCGGUGAAAUGCAUAGAUAUGCUACAGAACACCGAUCGCGAAGGCAGCUUACUAAGCCGAUAUUGACGCUCAGGCACGAAAGCGUGGGGAGCGAACAGGAUUAGAUACCCUAGUAGUCC